UUCAUGGCCCAACCAAAAGCAGGAGAUUAUUGGGAUCUGAUCUUACCUCACCACUCCCCAUUAUAAAAAUCUGCAGGGGUUAAGAUAGGAUAAGAUAAGAUACUAAUCCCUUGCAUAAUGCAAUGUGGGAGGGAGGGAGUCAGUCUAGAGAAUAAGAGGACAAGAUGAACAAGUCUUCGGAGUAAUCUCCGGGGAUCUCAAAGAUUCUUCUGCCCCUUCAAGUUUAUCUUCCAGAGCCAAGAGAAUUUAUUUGAAAACCCACUUGAAAUGAAAAAACCAUGAGGUUUACCUACAACACCAGCCCAUCUUGGAAUGAAAACCCACUUUGUUUUUGAGAAAAAAGGAGACAGGCCUGCAAUUCUAGGAGUGAUGGCAAGAGAUAAGAUGGGCAGGCAUGCAGGACAGCUUUAGGGGGACAGCAAAAGGCAGUCUUGAAAUCUGGCUCUCUCUCAAGUUUGCAGCUGCAGCACCACCCAACAGCACCACGAAAGGAGAGAAGAGACGACGGAUAGGUGGUAAUCUAGUGCCCUGGGGCUGCAACCCACCAUUGAUCUCUGGAGAUCCGAUAAGGAUCUCGAUAGCUGCAGGCCGUGUGUACGGUUUGUGAUAACCUAGUACAAUGAUACCCCAUUUCUUCUUGCAUUGGUGUAUACCAUAUUUUUUCCCUU